AUGAGUUGCCUGGUGUGGAACUACCGCGGGGCUGGCAAACCCGCUACAAUUUGAGAGCUUCGAGAUCUCUCGAGGCAACAUGCCCCCUCCAUUGUAUGCAUCUUAGAAACCCAAAUAGAGGGCUCACGUGUUGAGAGUAUGGUAGGAUCUUUAGGCUUUGAAAAGAGUUUUGUUGUAAGCAAUAGAGGUAGAAGUGGUGGUCUUGGUAUCUUCUGGAAUGAAGCAAUAAAGUUGGAAAUUAUUGGUUAUUCAGAGUAUCAUAUUGAUGUACUUGUGAAAGAACUAGUCCCGGUGCAAACUAGGAUCACUUUUGUCUAUGGAGAAGCACAAACGCAAGAAAGAUAUAAAACAUGGGAUAUGAUGCGUGGCAUUGCUAAUACCAGCAAUCACCCUUGGGUUAUAUAG
rnacentral:rRNA from 1 species